rnacentral:lncRNA from 1 species
GACAUACUUGUGUGCUGCCAAACUAAAUAAAAAGAAACAAGAAAGCAGCCUUGUCUUCUAGUCCUCCAGGAGAGACAGAGGAGUUUCCCACAACUUGUUUAGAGUUUCUUCUGGUCUUCAUUUCCCAUAUUGCUUGUGUUCCUUUCUUUUUAUGGGUUCCUACUUCACAAUCACAAUAUCUUUAAAAUACAGCUGAUGAUUUUAAAAUCCUCACUAUCGAAAAAAAAUCCAAACUAAAUAAUUUUACUUUUUUCUUUAAACUCAACAGCCAUAAUAUAUUUCUCAUCUCUUCUUUUUUUUUUUUCAGAUUAUCCCUUAUGCUUUUUCUUUAUAUUUUCUCAAGCCUAUUUAUUGUUCACUGCUUUCAAGAUCUAACUGUGUUCAUAUUAGCAUUGAACAGAUACUAUGGUGACCUUUCUCGGUCCACAGAAGCUGAUGAGAAAGACCCAGAGAGGACAGGUGAAAUUUGCUUUCCUGAUAAUCUUCUAUCAUGAUGCCAGAGAUCACCAAAGAGUUAUCUUACUACUGGAAAAAUAUUCCGUCGUUUGAGUACUGGUAAAACAAACUGACAGAAUAUAGAAACAGCAGAAUGAAGCAACUCAGCCUACUGUGUUUUUGAGUGAAAGAUACUAUUCUGGCCUUGAAUUUUAUUAUUAAAAGUACCCCAUGUGUAUGAGUUUGCCACUUUUGAAUAAAUCCCACAGAAUGGUGAUAAUAAUAGAUGCA